GAUGAACGCUGGCGGCGUGCCUAAUACAUGCAAGUCGAGCGAACAGACGAGGAGCUUGCUCCUCUGACGUUAGCGGCGGACGGGUGAGUAACACGUGGAUAACCUACCUAUAAGACUGGUAUCACUUCGGGAAACCGGAGCUAAUACCGGAUAAUCUAUUGAACCGCAUUGUUCAAUAGUGAAAGACGGUUUUGCUGUCACUUCUAGAUGGAUCCGCGCCGCAUUAGCUAGUUGGUAAGGUAACGGCUUACCAAGGCAACGAUGCGUAUCCGACCUGAGAGGGGGAUCGGCCACACUGGAACGGAGACACGGUCCAGACGCCUACGGGAGGCAGCAGUAGGGAAUCUUCCGCAAUGGGCGAAAGCCUGACGGAGCAACGCCGCGUGAGUGAUGAAGGUCUUCGGAUCGUAAAACUCUGUUAUUAGGGAAGAACAAAUGUGUAAGUAACUAUGCACGUCUUGACGGUACCUAAUCAGAAAGCCACGGCUAACUACGUG
rnacentral:rRNA from 1 species